AGAUGGGCACGAAGCACCCUAAAAGCCUAGCUUACAUUAAAAAAUCUAGGGAAGUGAUAAUGACGUAAGAGCUACUGGUAGAAGUAGGAGAAAAAUUCACCAAAAAAUCGUCAAAGACAAGUACCUGUACAAGUCUUCAAAAGCCAAGCCCGUUAAGUCGUCUCCGAAACGACCAACAAUAGCUGAAUCUAAAGUGGCAAGUGGUCAAGGUUGUUCUAUCUGACCUGCAGACAAAAGCAACAGGAUGUGUUGAUGGGUCUAAGUUUGUGUUGACCCCUGGCACAACCUCUAGGAGACAGUAUGUGAUAAUGAACGGCAAGGUUAUGCUGCUGUGGGUGGAUAAAGGAGCUAAAUUUGUGGAUUGUACAUCAUACACAGACAAAACUUCAUCUGUUACUUGCAAGGAAGUUGCUGGUCUUGCUAGCGUUGAUUUAUCAGCAUCAAAUGUUCCAACAGAAACUGGUAAUAUAUUGCACACUUUUUUAUUUUAAAAAAUAAUUUUCUUGACAACAUUUUUUUACAUUUUACACUGAAAGUUAUUGUAAGGCUUUAGUCUUAUAAACGGUGAAAGUUUAACAAAUGAUCACUUUAUUAGAGAUGUAACCUUAGAAAAAAAUUGAAAUUUUUUGCAAUGGCAAAAAGAAAAUUAUGAUUAAGUUGCAAAUGGUUACCCACAAAGCAUAACUAAAAAUAUGACAUAAUUUUACUUUUUGUUUCUCACUUUCUGGUUUCAUGGAUUUUCGCGGAUUCUGUAUGAAUUUUCCACACCGCCGCUGCAAUUCAUAACUAUUUAUAUCAUUAUUUAAACUGGGUCUUUCAACCAGAUAUACAAUAAAGUUAGGUUUUCAGAAUUUUAAAUUACAAUCUUUUUACACUUUAAUGAAGCUUUCUUGCUUAAAAAGGUGAGUUUUUAAACUUUGUCUCAACAUUUUUGUUGUUGUAAGACGACAUUUUAAUUAUUUUGAUUUCUAAAAAUCUGGUUUUAUUUUAACAAAAAAGCAUGAUUUUGGUGGUGGGAAAUUUAACAUAUAUAAGAAAUAUAACAAUAAUAUAUGAUUAUAAUAAAUAAAAAUAGCAACCUCGCUGUGGAAACUCUAGUUUAGAAACUAAAAAUGUAAUAAAAAUGUCUGGUUCAGACAACUCCCAAGUAAACAGCGACCAAUUUAGGUUACAUUUACUAAUCCUUUGUUCGAUGAUUGGCACUUCCUCCAUCUAAGGAUUUACAAUGGGUUGAUUUCCUCUCCCCCCUCUGUACACCAGAGGAAAGUGUACUGCAGCAGUACAAAUACAGUUCAGCAAACUAUGUCCACACGGUACAACUAGAUACAUAGACCACCAUACGGAUCAAAGAACCAUGUCAAAAAACCAGAAUUAAGAAUAAAAAGUUAGUUUUAUUAAUUGACGACAAUAUUGUAAGAUGAAAUAAUAAAAUUUCUUAUUUAU